rnacentral:sRNA from 1 species
CAUCUAUGAAUGUGAAGCUCUUCUUGGAGUUCUUUUCCCUAUAGCCAUGGACUUGUCCUUAUUCAUAAAGAUCAAUUUGACUUGACAUAUAUGACAAAACAA